CAUUAAAUAGCUUAAAUUUAAAGUAUUGAUCUUUUAAAUCAAUUAUAAUAUUAUAAUAUUUUUAAUGA
rnacentral:tRNA from 1 species